rnacentral:rRNA from 1 species
AUUUAGCCUGCCCCAUGAUUUUUAAAUGGCUGCAGUAUUUUGACUGUACAAAGGUAGCAUAAUCAUUAGUUUUUUAAUUGAAAGCUGGAAUGAAUGGUUGGAUGAGAUAUAUACUGUUUCAAAAUAAUUUUAUAUAACUUUAUUUUUAAUUGAAAAAGAUUAAAUUUUUUUAAAAGACGAGAAGACCCUAUAAAUCUUUAUAUUUUAUAUAUUUUAUUUUUAUUGUAAAUAUUUAAUAAAUUAUUAAAAAUAUUUUGUUGGGGCGAUAAAUUAAUUAAAAUAACUUAAUUUUUAUAAUUACAUUAAUUUAUGAAUUGGUGAUCUUUAAGAAAAAUAAUAAGAAAAAGUUACUUUAGGGAUAACAGCGUAAUUUUUUUGGAGAGUUCAUAUUAAUAAAAAAGAUUGCGACCUCGAUGUUGAAUUAAGAUAUAAAUUUUAGUGCAGAAGUUAAAAUUUU